AGUGAACGCUGGCGGUAGGCCUAACACAUGCAAGUCGAACGGCAGCACAGGAGAGCUUGCUCUCUGGGUGGCGAGUGGCGGACGGGUGAGGAAUACAUCGGAAUCUACUCUGUCGUGGGGGAUAACGUAGGGAAACUUACGCUAAUACCGCAUACGACCUACGGGUGAAAGCAGGGGAUCUUCGGACCUUGCGCGAUUGAAUGAGCCGAUGUCGGAUUAGCUAGUUGGCGGGGUAAAGGCCCACCAAGGCGACGAUCCGUAGCUGGUCUGAGAGGAUGAUCAGCCACACUGGAACUGAGACACGGUCCAGACUCCUACGGGAGGAAGCAGUGGGGAAUAUUGGACAAUGGGCGCAAGCCUGAUCCAGCCAUACCGCGUGGGUGAAGAAGGCCUUCGGGUUGUAAAGCCCUUUUGUUGGGAAAGAAAUCCAGCUGGCUAAUACCCGGUUGGGAUGACGGUGCCCAAAGAAUAAGCACCGGCUAACUCCGUGCCAGCAGCCGCGGUAA
rnacentral:rRNA from 1 species